rnacentral:misc_RNA from 1 species
UGAUGAGGGACCUGCCUUCCUUCCCACAGACGUACUCCGCUACAUCAAAGCCUCUACCUCCUCGUAGGAAAUCAAAGAAGGGAGAAGCGUCGGUUGUAGACGUUACUCGGCGACGUCAGCGCUGCCACCCUCACCACAACAGGCCUUCGCAAUAGACAUCCACCCCUCGCCUUGACACACGCACAACAGCGAGCGCAUAUCAUUAGACGCGCAACCCGCCACAAAAGACGUUUUAUUGUGGGCACGACAAGCAAGUGCGCGCCAGUGGCGGCGUGCUUGCUAUACACGUAUACCAACAGACGCAGCCGGACGCCGACCCGAUUCCUUCACAUCAAAAGCUGUCGGGAGGGGGUGUGCGAGAGGAAGCGGGUGCGAGCAUCGCCGUUGCCCGUCUCUCGUGUUUUACAUGGUUGCCUACCUUGAGCUCGUAGGGCCAGUGCAACUCACGCGCCCCACGACCGUGGGCGCCUCUUCACACACACGCACAUACCUAUACAUAUACAGACACACUCACGCCGCUCCGACUCUCUCUGCACCUGCAGCGCUCCUCUGGCGAAAGAAGCUUCUAGUGCUGACGUGCAUUUUCUUCUUGUGAGGCCUAGAUUACUUUUUGAUCUCCUCGCCUACUGACCUUUCUCGUCGAACCUUUUUCCUUGAUUGGCUUAUCACCUCGUUUCUUUCGGUUAUUGGGCUUGCUUGUUGUUCCCGCCCCCUCCCCUCUGUGUCUUGUCAACUGCAUCUUUCAGCAGCCUGUCAACUCUUCUGUACAUAGCCGCCUUUCCCCGCUGAGGUCUCCCUCUCUCGAGGGCUUGCCCUUCAUUGUCUGUUUUUUUUUUGCCUGUCUCCUACAGAAUUGCACUUGCCACUGCCGCGCACUCGCCCCCUUCCUCCUUUCCUGAACUGCGGUGAAGUUCUGUUAUUGUUGCUGUUCUCCUUUUUCUGGCUGCGCUUUCUCUGUGUAUCUCUUUCUUUUUUCUCUAGGGUGGGGGUGCGUUGCCGGGUGGGGGCACAAAACCUCCGCGAAGUGUGUGUUGCACCUACGCCUACACCGUGCUGUGCUCCUCAUAGCACCUCUCAUUACCGCAUUCGGCCCGGUUUGAUUUUUUUGUCUUGCAUUGUGAGUGAGUUGUAGCUUCGUGCAGGUCGCUUCAACCUCACCUUACCUCACUCUUGGUGUCUGGCGGAGGAAGUUGCUUGACCCUGCUGCAGCUGCUGCAUGUGCUGCGGUCUGCUGGCUCCUCAUUUCUUAUCUCAUCAGCCAGCGCCUGGUCGCUGUGGUCGCACGCACUGGUGUUCUGCUUGUGUGAUUUUCUGGUGAGUUUGUGUUGUUGAGCUGGCGCCGCUGGUGUUCUUUUUUUGUCGUCGUUUUGGUCGGCUAUUUCUCGAAGCGCGUGCCCACUUCCGUUUGCUUCCUCAUCCUCUCCCGUAACCCCGCUCCCGCUUCCCAUCGCCUCGUGGAAGGGCAUCUCGUUGUCGCCUAUCGCUUAUACUAUCCAGCUCUCUGCGUGCCACACGGAAGAAGUAAAACGGAUAACUCGUUAAGUGCAUCGCUCAUGUCGUUUAUGGAGGAGAUGAGUGAUGCACCCGUCAGCAUCACAGGGGAGAUGUGGUUGUGCGCUGACAGCGCCGGUCCGUUGAAGGUUGGGGCUGGCCGCGGGCUCAAGAACUUCAUCACCAUCGAAAAAGACCGCUUUUGCGCCUACUCCUCCCGUAGUGAGCAGAGUAAGCAGAUCAAGCAAAUCGCCUUCCGUAGCAUGAAGCGCGUCGCGUGGUUUACUCAUCACCCUAAGCUGCCAGGGCGCGAGCUGGCAGCGAGCACCACCGCCGCCACCCUGCGACGCGGCGCCCGCAAGGACCCGCUCGCAGCGACAUACUACUAUCUUGUAUUGGAGUUUCUGCGCGACAACACGAUCCCUGGCACCGUGUCGCUGGGCAAGCGCGAGCGCAUCGUGCUCUGCACAGAUGACCAUCAGGACUUUUCAAUUUGGCGAAAAUUUGCGGAGCUCUAUGAGUGCCCGCCUGUCCACGAAGGGUUUGUGGAAGGCCGCGACAAGAAGACCCUGAGGGCACAGGCGCCUGCAGGUGGUGCGCGAGAUCAUGACGACACCACCUCGAGUGACGACGACGACUACGAAGGGCGAGACCUCGGAGGCGGCAGCGCCGUGGGUCGUCGCUCGCUCGACCUGUGGAAAAAUCGAUGUGUGGCGCUGGUUAACGACUUUGCUCACUUGUCGAAUCCGUCCUUGCAGGUCGAAAACGCUGACGUCUUCGACACGCCGGCGAGCUGUGGCGGGCUCGACUGGGACGUUCACGUAGAGUCCGUGCUGCACGCCAUCGAGCAAGACAUGCGUCCUUCGAUGAAGGUGGUACCAGCUCAUUCUACCAGGGGCGCUGCUGCGGGGCCGUCGUCCCUGCUCUCUUCGCCGUCGAUCGCCCCGAGCAGCAUCCAUCCCUGUGCGGCAACAAAGGGAAUGAUGGAGACGGGCUCCGACGAGAUGCAUUCGCUGGCGAGCAAUCUGCAGGUGGAGCUGGAGCAGUUUCAGGCGUUUGCGGCUGAGGUGGGAGCACUAGUAGAAGGCAGGGAGCUGAAGACGACAAAGAUAUCGCCUGACGCACUCAAUGCCUACGUAGAGCGUCUGAGGAAGAUGCCGACACCAGCAGAGCCAGCCGAUAGCGUCGCGGCACAACGAGGAGACAAGACGGAGGCCAACGCCGGUGCAGCGGCCGCCGACCUUGCAAAGCUGGAGAGCGCCUGUGUAAAUGCGGUACGGAGCUUUAGGGAGAAGGUGCACACAAGCGUCCUUCCUCUGUCACAGGAAUGGAACCGCGAAAAAGCAGAACAGCAGGAGCGGGCGGCCCUUCCGCAGCGUGUGGAGACAACCGUUGCCGUUCUUAUCGACGAACUCGCCCGCGCCACCGCGGAUGUGUCUACCCUCAAGGAGUCUCUGGCCACAAGCAUAAUCCCCACCACGGUCUCUUCGGCAACAAGCGUGCCCCUGGAGCUGAAUGAGCUUCGCAGGGUACUCAACCAAAAAGAAUUGGAGGUGGAAACGUUGCAGCAGAAGCACUUCGACGCAAGCCGCCACACAAAGCAGCUCUCUCGCAGGCUCGAAGAGCUGGUCUUCUCGUAUAGUGACGUAGCGCAUGACAUGCUGCGGUCACAGUACCGCGAAUACGCGUCUCUGCGGAACCUGUUUCUCAGAGCACUGCGCGGCGAGGUGUCUCUAGACAAUUCGACGCCCGCCGAGGCAUCUUUGGGAGCGAGUGGCUCAUUCGGCGGCAUGAGCGAGGCCUGUUGCUCGAGUCAUUUGUCUGCGUCUAGUGGCGUGCAGAAGCUGGUAAUCUCUGCCGCUCACUUGGAGGCGAUCCACGCCCUCGAGCAGGAGCGCGCUGCUGCCCGCGAGAGGCAACGCGAGCUAGAGGAGGUGGUGAAGGAGUUGGAGGUGCUAAGACAGGAGCGUGAUGAAGAGAUUGCCAACCUCAAGUGCAACUUUCUCGCAGCCGGGGAGGCGUGGGAGAAGGACGUCGCCAUACUGCAGGCAAAGCUGUCAGCACUGCAAUCUGCCAUCCCGCGAGGAGCACUGCUGCUUCCCGCCUCUUCGCUGGCAACCAAUACUGCAGUGAAGGCCGGCAUAGCGCAGAAACUUCAAUCAACGCAGCCGCACACUCCUACUGGGCCUGCAGGCGCCCUUGAGAGCACCGAAACCGUGACGCCGUUGUUCGCCGAGGGUCACAAAGCACUCCAUAAACUGACGACGCUUCUCACAACGACCCCGAAGGAGACCGUUCUCGAAGCCGCUGUCGUGUCCCAGCGACUGCAGGCUUUCUACGAUUGGGCGCUUGAAGCUGUCGUACCUCUUUCCUCAACUUCUGUGUCCGACGGCUCAGUUCUCGAGAUGAUAACCAAUGUUGUCCACGCCUAUCACGCACUCUUGCAGCAGACAUCCACCAUUUACACAGCUACCAAAUCAGACACGGAUGACACUCACGUGGAUGUCCUCCGACUUAUGAGGAACGAGCACGAGCAGUUUAGAAAGUUGUGGGGCAUCCUGGAGGAACACCUGCUCAUUCAUGGGGCGGGAAGCUUUCACGACAGCGGCCACCAGCAAUCGUCAGAACGCAUGGCUCUCUCGUUUUCCUCACCUCCAACCAUGGAGGAGCUCGAUCAACUACCGCCCUUUAUAGAAACGCUCUGCACCAAUGCGGCUCUCUACUCCAAGCUCAAAAUCCGUAGCGGAGGCGUCCCCAUCGCUACUUACAUUCAAGACCUUGAGAAAAAGUCCGCACAACUGGAACAGCAGCUUCAGCAUAAAGAGCAAGAAGAGAGAUCCCUCAGCGCGCUCAUAGCAACGUUCCAAGAUAACAACACCCCGCUAUUCAGCAGCCACGCAAACUCCCCGCUUGCUGCGUUGGGUGCGGAUGCGCCGGCGUCGCCGUCUGUCGCGGAGGCGAUUGCGCGCGCGGCCGCCGAUGCCGCGGAGCGCGAGCGUGCACUGCGCGCCGAGGUCGCCGCGGCGGAGGAGCGCCUGCAGGCGAUGGAGGAGCGCCUGGAGGCGGCGAGCGCCGAGCAGCAGCAGCUGCAGGCGGACCGCGACGCGAAGCUGCGUGCCGCGGACGAGCGGCUGGCGCAGACGGCGGCUGCGCGCCAGGAGCUGUGCGACAGCGUUGCCGACGCGCUUGCUGCGUUGGGUGCGGACGCGCCGGCGUCGCCGUCUGUCGCGGAGGCGAUUGCGCGCGCGGCCGCCGAUGCCGCGGAGCGCGAGCGUGCACUGCGCGCCGAGGUCGCCGCGGCGGAGGAGCGCCUGCAGGCGAUGGAGGAGCGCCUGGAGGCGGCGAGCGCCGAGCAGCAGCAGCUGCAGGCGGACCGCGACGCGAAGCUGCGUGCCGCGGACGAGCGGCUGGCGCAGACGGCGGCUGCGCGCCAGGAGCUGUGCGACAGCGUUGCCGACGCGCUUGCUGCGUUGGGUGCGGACGCGCCGGCGUCGCCGUCUGUCGCGGAGGCGAUUGCGCGCGCGGCCGCCGAUGCCGCGGAGCGCGAGCGUGCACUGCGCGCCGAGGUCGCCGCGGCGGAGGAGCGCCUGCAGGCGAUGGAGGAGCGCCUGGAGGCGGCGAGCGCCGAGCAGCAGCAGCUGCAGGCGGACCGCGACGCGAAGCUGCGUGCCGCGGACGAGCGGCUGGCGCAGACGGCGGCUGCGCGCCAGGAGCUGUGCGACAGCGUUGCCGACGCGCUUGCUGCGUUGGGUGCGGACGCGCCGGCGUCGCCGUCUGUCGCGGAGGCGAUUGCGCGCGCGGCCGCCGAUGCCGCGGAGCGCGAGCGUGCACUGCGCGCCGAGGUCGCCGCGGCGGAGGAGCGCCUGCAGGCGAUGGAGGAGCGCCUGGAGGCGGCGAGCGCCGAGCAGCAGCAGCUGCAGGCGGACCGCGACGCGAAGCUGCGUGCCGCGGACGAGCGGCUGGCGCAGACGGCGGCUGCGCGCCAGGAGCUGUGCGACAGCGUUGCCGACGCGCUUGCUGCGUUGGGUGCGGACGCGCCGGCGUCGCCGUCUGUCGCGGAGGCGAUUGCGCGCGCGGCCGCCGAUGCCGCGGAGCGCGAGCGUGCACUGCGCGCCGAGGUCGCCGCGGCGGAGGAGCGCCUGCAGGCGAUGGAGGAGCGCCUGGAGGCGGCGAGCGCCGAGCAGCAGCAGCUGCAGGCGGACCGCGACGCGAAGCUGCGUGCCGCGGACGAGCGGCUGACGCAGACGGCGGCUGCGCGCCAGGAGCUGUGCGACAGCGUUGCCGACGCGCUUGCUGCGUUGGGUGCGGACGCGCCGGCGUCGCCGUCUGUCGCGGAGGCGAUUGCGCGCGCGGCCGCCGAUGCCGCGGAGCGCGAGCGUGCACUGCGCGCCGAGGUCGCCGCGGCGGAGGAGCGCCUGCAGGCGAUGGAGGAGCGCCUGGAGGCGGCGAGCGCCGAGCAGCAGCAGCUGCAGGCGGACCGCGACGCGAAGCUGCGUGCCGCGGACGAGCGGCUGGCGCAGACGGCGGCUGCGCGCCAGGAGCUGUGCGACAGCGUUGCCGACGCGCUUGCUGCGUUGGGUGCGGACGCGCCGGCGUCGCCGUCUGUCGCGGAGGCGAUUGCGCGCGCGGCCGCCGAUGCCGCGGAGCGCGAGCGUGCACUGCGCGCCGAGGUCGCCGCGGCGGAGGAGCGCCUGCAGGCGAUGGAGGAGCGCCUGGAGGCGGCGAGCGCCGAGCAGCAGCAGCUGCAGGCGGACCGCGACGCGAAGCUGCGUGCCGCGGACGAGCGGCUGGCGCAGACGGCGGCUGCGCGCCAGGAGCUGUGCGACAGCGUUGCCGACGCGCUUGCUGCGUUGGGUGCGGACGCGCCGGCGUCGCCGUCUGUCGCGGAGGCGAUUGCGCGCGCGGCCGCCGAUGCCGCGGAGCGCGAGCGUGCACUGCGCGCCGAGGUCGCCGCGGCGGAGGAGCGCCUGCAGGCGAUGGAGGAGCGCCUGGAGGCGGCGAGCGCCGAGCAGCAGCAGCUGCAGGCGGACCGCGACGCGAAGCUGCGUGCCGCGGACGAGCGGCUGGCGCAGACGGCGGCUGCGCGCCAGGAGCUGUGCGACAGCGUUGCCGACGCGCUUGCUGCGUUGGGUGCGGACGCGCCGGCGUCGCCGUCUGUCGCGGAGGCGAUUGCGCGCGCGGCCGCCGAUGCCGCGGAGCGCGAGCGUGCACUGCGCGCCGAGGUCGCCGCGGCGGAGGAGCGCCUGCAGGCGAUGGAGGAGCGCCUGGAGGCGGCGAGCGCCGAGCAGCAGCAGCUGCAGGCGGACCGCGACGCGAAGCUGCGUGCCGCGGACGAGCGGCUGGCGCAGACGGCGGCUGCGCGCCAGGAGCUGUGCGACAGCGUUGCCGACGCGCUUGCUGCGUUGGGUGCGGACGCGCCGGCGUCGCCGUCUGUCGCGGAGGCGAUUGCGCGCGCGGCCGCCGAUGCCGCGGAGCGCGAGCGUGCACUGCGCGCCGAGGUCGCCGCGGCGGAGGAGCGCCUGCAGGCGAUGGAGGAGCGCCUGGAGGCGGCGAGCGCCGAGCAGCAGCAGCUGCAGGCGGACCGCGACGCGAAGCUGCGUGCCGCGGACGAGCGGCUGGCGCAGACGGCGGCUGCGCGCCAGGAGCUGUGCGACAGCGUUGCCGACGCGCUUGCUGCGUUGGGUGCGGACGCGCCGGCGUCGCCGUCUGUCGCGGAGGCGAUUGCGCGCGCGGCCGCCGAUGCCGCGGAGCGCGAGCGUGCACUGCGCGCCGAGGUCGCCGCGGCGGAGGAGCGCCUGCAGGCGAUGGAGGAGCGCCUGGAGGCGGCGAGCGCCGAGCAGCAGCAGCUGCAGGCGGACCGCGACGCGAAGCUGCGUGCCGCGGACGAGCGGCUGGCGCAGACGGCGGCUGCGCGCCAGGAGCUGUGCGACAGCGUUGCCGACGCGCUUGCUGCGUUGGGUGCGGACGCGCCGGCGUCGCCGUCUGUCGCGGAGGCGAUUGCGCGCGCGGCCGCCGAUGCCGCGGAGCGCGAGCGUGCACUGCGCGCCGAGGUCGCCGCGGCGGAGGAGCGCCUGCAGGCGAUGGAGGAGCGCCUGGAGGCGGCGAGCGCCGAGCAGCAGCAGCUGCAGGCGGACCGCGACGCGAAGCUGCGUGCCGCGGACGAGCGGCUGGCGCAGACGGCGGCUGCGCGCCAGGAGCUGUGCGACAGCGUUGCCGACGCGCUUGCUGCGUUGGGUGCGGACGCGCCGGCGUCGCCGUCUGUCGCGGAGGCGAUUGCGCGCGCGGCCGCCGAUGCCGCGGAGCGCGAGCGUGCACUGCGCGCCGAGGUCGCCGCGGCGGAGGAGCGCCUGCAGGCGAUGGAGGAGCGCCUGGAGGCGGCGAGCGCCGAGCAGCAGCAGCUGCAGGCGGACCGCGACGCGAAGCUGCGUGCCGCGGACGAGCGGCUGACGCAGACGGCGGCUGCGCGCCAGGAGCUGUGCGACAGCGUUGCCGACGCGCUUGCUGCGUUGGGUGCGGACGCGCCGGCGUCGCCGUCUGUCGCGGAGGCGAUUGCGCGCGCGGCCGCCGAUGCCGCGGAGCGCGAGCGUGCACUGCGCGCCGAGGUCGCCGCGGCGGAGGAGCGCCUGCAGGCGAUGGAGGAGCGCCUGGAGGCGGCGAGCGCCGAGCAGCAGCAGCUGCAGGCGGACCGCGACGCGAAGCUGCGUGCCGCGGACGAGCGGCUGGCGCAGACGGCGGCUGCGCGCCAGGAGCUGUGCGACAGCGUUGCCGACGCGCUUGCUGCGUUGGGUGCGGACGCGCCGGCGUCGCCGUCUGUCGCGGAGGCGAUUGCGCGCGCGGCCGCCGAUGCCGCGGAGCGCGAGCGUGCACUGCGCGCCGAGGUCGCCGCGGCGGAGGAGCGCCUGCAGGCGAUGGAGGAGCGCCUGGAGGCGGCGAGCGCCGAGCAGCAGCAGCUGCAGGCGGACCGCGACGCGAAGCUGCGUGCCGCGGACGAGCGGCUGACGCAGACGGCGGCUGCGCGCCAGGAGCUGUGCGACAGCGUUGCCGACGCGCUUGCUGCGUUGGGUGCGGACGCGCCGGCGUCGCCGUCUGUCGCGGAGGCGAUUGCGCGCGCGGCCGCCGAUGCCGCGGAGCGCGAGCGUGCACUGCGCGCCGAGGUCGCCGCGGCGGAGGAGCGCCUGCAGGCGAUGGAGGAGCGCCUGGAGGCGGCGAGCGCCGAGCAGCAGCAGCUGCAGGCGGACCGCGACGCGAAGCUGCGUGCCGCGGACGAGCGGCUGGCGCAGACGGCGGCUGCGCGCCAGGAGCUGUGCGACAGCGUUGCCGACGCGCUUGCUGCGUUGGGUGCGGACGCGCCGGCGUCGCCGUCUGUCGCGGAGGCGAUUGCGCGCGCGGCCGCCGAUGCCGCGGAGCGCGAGCGUGCACUGCGCGCCGAGGUCGCCGCGGCGGAGGAGCGCCUGCAGGCGAUGGAGGAGCGCCUGGAGGCGGCGAGCGCCGAGCAGCAGCAGCUGCAGGCGGACCGCGACGCGAAGCUGCGUGCCGCGGACGAGCGGCUGGCGCAGACGGCGGCUGCGCGCCAGGAGCUGUGCGACAGCGUUGCCGACGCGCUUGCUGCGUUGGGUGCGGACGCGCCGGCGUCGCCGUCUGUCGCGGAGGCGAUUGCGCGCGCGGCCGCCGAUGCCGCGGAGCGCGAGCGUGCACUGCGCGCCGAGGUCGCCGCGGCGGAGGAGCGCCUGCAGGCGAUGGAGGAGCGCCUGGAGGCGGCGAGCGCCGAGCAGCAGCAGCUGCAGGCGGACCGCGACGCGAAGCUGCGUGCCGCGGACGAGCGGCUGGCGCAGACGGCGGCUGCGCGCCAGGAGCUGUGCGACAGCGUUGCCGACGCGCUUGCUGCGUUGGGUGCGGACGCGCCGGCGUCGCCGUCUGUCGCGGAGGCGAUUGCGCGCGCGGCCGCCGAUGCCGCGGAGCGCGAGCGUGCACUGCGCGCCGAGGUCGCCGCGGCGGAGGAGCGCCUGCAGGCGAUGGAGGAGCGCCUGGAGGCGGCGAGCGCCGAGCAGCAGCAGCUGCAGGCGGACCGCGACGCGAAGCUGCGUGAUUGGGUGACGGAGCGUUUUCUUUAUGGGUGGCAGAUGUGUUUGAGGGCGUUGGAAGCUGAGGAGUUGGAAUCACGUUAUAGAUGUGUUGUGGGUUGUUUUGGUAUUUGUCCUUAUGUGGCGAUCGCGUCAUCGGAGGCUGAGAAGAUGCUGGAGAUUCGAGGGAUGGUGGGUGGUAGUGCUGAUGAAGUGGUUAGACGGGUGCGGGAACUGUUGGCGGAGCUUAACGGUUUACGCGCAUUUGCUAGAGAAGCUCAGGAGAAGGUUUUUUGGUACGAGGAUGUAAGGGUUCGCGUUCCGUUAAUAAAGCUUAGCGACUUUGUGCGAGAGCGUGACGGCACCGGCGAAUGCUAUCAUCGGGAUGACGCAGCGGUUCCGUUUCUUGCAGAGACGCUGCGAAAUAGCUUCCAAGCGCUACAGUGCUUAGAUUCCGAAGCUCUGGCGCUGCGUGAAUCGUUCUCCUCAAUGAAAGCGUUAGUAAAGGAGUGUGGCACAGCGGUGAAUGAGAGCGUGGAGGCCUUGCGAAAGGCGCUGCCGCGUGCUGCGUGUGUGGAAAAUGCGUCGCCAUCGCAGCCUCAGUCCACUCUGCCAGUGGAAUGGGGUCUGCGUGUGGCCUGCCGCGGCCUAGCUGCCUCGGUUUCGGAAGCCGUACACUGGCAAGGGGAGCUGACGAACAUUGUAAAGGCGACUUAUCGAAUUCUCAUCGCCUCUAGUGGCGGUACGGGGGUGCACGGCGCCCCUGUUAGCCACUGUGACAACCCGUCCUUCGCGGAAUACAGUCAGUUGCCCCGACUCGCGGCGCAGGCAUGCUCGGAGCGGUUGCAUUCUCGUCGCUCUGCCUCUGUUGAGGAUGAACUGGCUGCUGUUACGCAACAACGAAACGAUCUCGCCGGCACGGUGGGUGCUUGCUGCGGGUCCUUGCGUAGCGCUAUUUCCGUCACCACCCCAGGCAGAGUGGGCUCUCUUCCGGCUACGGCGACGUCGCUGACGUGCGAUGAGGCGAAGUCUGCUCUCAGAGACAUCACGGUUCUCACGAGUAGUAUCUUGCACGAUUACGCCCAAAGCAUGGAGCACACUUUGGCGGUACUAACCCCGCUUGCAAGCAUCGCGGCGAAUACAGCCGACGCCUCGUCCUCUUUCGAAAUGCUGGCUGCAGCGACAGAGGCCGUGCGAGCCCGCAUCAAGCACAUGGAGCGGUGUCAGCUUCAUCACUUACAUGUGCGUCAAUGCGGUGAGGAAGGGAACGCAAAGGCUAGGAGAUCGAUGCAAGACCAGUUGUUCGCACUAAGUGAGGUAUUCGAGGCUGGGGAGCUCGCGCGCAGAAACGAGCAAAAGGAGGAAGCAGUUCCUCUGGCAGAUGUAGCGCAGCAGCAGCAGCCGUGGGAUGCUGUCGUCGAAGUGCUCAGCAAGUUCGCUGAGGAUGUUGGUGCCACCGUGAGGGCACAAAACGGCUCCGAAUCACAGAACGUUGAUAACGCCGAGGUGCUUUCACCUGUGCGGCAAGCCAUUUCACUGUCAGCCUCAGCUAAGACCCAGGAGGAGCUUCAAGGCCGUCUUUCGGGCAUUCUGGAUGCUUGCAAGCGGCGCGCUGCUGAGCACCAUUGGGCUGAGGCGACGGAAGGUCGAAUGGCACUUGAUCGGGAAGAUUUGCGUGCAUCCGUCACGACCGGCGAGCACAGCCUUGAAAAAAUGCAGGCUCAAGUAAAUGAAUAUCAGAAGCCGAUGGCGACGAUGGAAGCGGCGCGUGCAGCCCUCGGGCAGUCUACAACGCAAAUGCAGCUCGUCGCCGCUCGUGCACUCGAGGAGACUCUCGAUUUUGGCUUGCGAGAACGGGCUGCGUCUGAGUCCGGCGCAAGAGCCCCGACAGGCAUGGGCGAACGACUGGGAGAGGAGAUGUACCUUGUACAGCCGCGCAUGGACGCCAUGCAGGAUCGUCUCAACGACACCGAGGUGCGCGACUCAUCUCAAGUCAUGGAUGCCGGUGUGCUGCUUGAGGCGGCGGGGCAAGUGCGGUCUCUCGAGGACGUGAUGCGCAUCGUCUCCUCUUACAGCCUUGAGUACAAGACGAAAUCUCUUGAGUUCAAGGAGUCGCGUCUCCGCAGCGAGAUAGUGCAGGAUUGGGCGGCGAUGAUGGUUCCGUCGGCAAUCGAGCUGCGGCUGCUACGUGCCAUCGUGGCAGGGGUGGACCGUCCACUUCCGGGUACCGCUCUUGCCGAUUUCCCCGCGCACGGGUCAAGUAUGCGUCGUGAACUUACAGAGGCAGAGCACUUGCUGGGGGCUGCGGUGUCAGACCCCUGCGCCGAGGAAGCUACCCGUGAGGCGCUUCUCGGGGCGAUGGGCCAGGCCUGCCAGCUGCUCCUUGAAGCACCACCAGAGAGGGCGUUGGAUACUGCAGCGCGACAUGGAACGGCAUCAUCCGCGGAAGAGUGCCCCGCUGUCACGGCCGCAGACGCGGUAUCCACGACGGAUGUGGGCCGGGGCACAGCGCCCAGCAAGCUUGCAGACACUGUGUAUGCUGUAAUAGAGGAAUGCGGUGACCGCGCUGCUGCGAAUGGUACUUUAUGCACAGGCGAAGAGUGGUACAGCUCCGUCGCGCGGGUGACGCAGACGCUUUGUAGCGCCUUGUCUUCCGCCGGGGUUGCUGUUGCCGUUCCUGGUGACCACAGUUUGAUGGCGGGCCAUCCUUCCUGCGUUUCGCCGGCUUCACAGCCAUCAAUGUUGCACUCUCUUGUAUCCGCUGCCGAGCAUGUUUCGAAAUACACGACGGAUACCACUCGACUCCUUGAGGACUUGCGCGAGUCUUUGCAGGAUUGUCUGUCGAGCACCGAGUGUUGCCUACCAACUCUCGUCGCGGCUGUGGUGGAGGAGGUGGCGAGUCUUCGUGCGGCGUCUCAGUUGGCUGCCGAGGAGCAAAAGCACCGCGACCACGAGCUCGACGCCCUCAGAACACUGCUGCAGGAAGCAUCGGCUGUCUUCUCGGACACCUCGACUUUUCGUUCUACGCAGUCCCCUAACUUUUUGGCGAAAUGCAUGGCGUACGCGAAGGAGUGCGCGAGGCUGACGGCGCCAGAGUGCGAGUUAAGCAGCGCUUUUGGCGCCGCAUCAGCGCAGAGGUCGUCGUUGGAGGAUGCGCCCUUUUCACUGGGCGAUCGGGCGGCUGAAUUGCAGCGGGAUGGGGUGGAGCUGCGAGAGGUGGAGGCUCUAAAACUGCAGGGGCUAGUUUGCACUCUGAGCGUCGAGGUACUACUCGCAGAAGAACGCGCCGCGCGUUCGAUAAUGGUUGCUGAGGAAGCUACGAGUCGUCUCCAUGUGCUGUGCGAUCCGCAACUCCGAGAACUGGGCUUCCUGGUGGAAAGGGUACUCGCGCGGGCAGCUACGACCGAGGCGCAAUGCGCGCAAAAGACAGCUCAGCACUGCUCCAUCCUCGCAGCGCAAGAGCCAUUGGCUAUCACUGCGUCUGGUUUGGUGUCCGUGCAGGAAGACUGUUGUAGAGCGCUCGUCGAGAGCGAGGGUGACGCGUCAUGCGCUGCUGCGCCGACGCGCUUUAAACCAGAGACGUUGAAUAUCUUGGAGCAGGAGGCCGUACUCGUCCCUCGUGUUGUUCAAGCGCACGGGCGCUUGACGGCGACGUGCGCUGUGCUGCGCAGCGACUUGGACGCUGCGAAAGCGGUUUAUGAGCAGGCGCUUGCGGAGGUACAGGCGGAACUCGAUAUUGCGCGAAGCAGGUCGACAGAGUUGGAGGCACACCUUGAGCAUGUCUUUGACGCUAUUGAGGCUCUUGGCUCCCUUCUUUUCCCCCAUGAGGAAGCCUCUCUGCGGGAUGCCUCCUGCUUGCCGCGCCUCGCGGAGGCAUCCGGGCAGCUCGUGCGUACUGCUGCCGCAGACGCCGCGGCCCGGUGCCGCUUGGAGAAGGACGCUUGUGACGCUGCCGCCGCGUUUGCAGAGCUGCAGAGGCAGUGCGCCGCUGCUGAGGGUAAUGUCGAAACGCUGAAGGAGACGGUCCGUCGCUAUGAGCGUCAGGAGGCGGACGAGAUACAGACACUGAAGGCUUCGGCGAAGACCGCGGCGGAGGCGUACGCCGGUAUGGUGACGGCAUUGUGCUUAUCCGCCGAAUUGGUGCCCUCGGCCGCGUCAGCUGCCGCGGCUGUAAGUGAAAAGCAGUGGGCAGCCGUGGUGCACGCGGUACAGGCGGCAGUCGAGGAGGGCGGGCGCCAGACGAGCGAUGCGGCGGAGCUACGUGUGGAGAUGACAAUCCUGCAGUCCCGCAUGGUUGAACUCAAGGCUGCGGUGCUGGAGGCGGAGGCCCGAGAAGGCAACCUGCUGCAGCGCCUCAACGCCCUCAUGAUGUCCUCAGGGCCGCUGAAGGCAGCUGUGACGGCGGUGAUGGCCUCGCGCGAGUGCGACCUUGAAUCACUGGAAGAUGUUGCGCUUGCCAUGCACGCUGCCGUGCAGCUUGUAGAGCGUCAGCAAGGCAACAUGAAUCAGCUGAUAGCUGGCGGCGGAGAUCUGCGCAGCGAUGCCGAAAGUCUCCAUGGCAGGUUGUGUGGGGUAGCGGAGGAGUGCGGCGUGGCAAGGCCGUCCCUGGCUUCGCUAGAAGAGACACAUGGCAUGCUGCAGCGGCGUAUGGCCCAGCUAGAGCGACACGUCCACGACACCAUUUCAACUGUGGACCGCCGAGCAGCGGCCGUGCUGGGUGAGGCGGAGUCGCGGCGACUCGACAAAGGUACGCCGGCGGACUGCUUGGAUGGAAUUGCGUACCUUGCUGAUGCACUCGCCUGCAGAGCGGAGGAGUGCGAUGCUGCAAAGGCGCAGCUGCUUGCCUGGAGGGCUGAGGCGCGCGACCGCGAGGAGGCGAACCUGAGGAACACCACAAGACUGUCGACCCUGUGGCAUGCGUUUCGCACAGCUCUCCUUCCUCAACUGGUAGACGAACCCGCAGACCGCGGCGGCUGUGGCGAGGUGGAAGUCUUUUCAGCUGACGCCGUUGAGUUCCUCGCAAGCGAAGCGGAGACGAGGCAGGCGAUUCAGAUGAUUAUCGACACCGCCGAGCGACUGCGUCGCACGCACGACGAUCUGCAAGCUGUGUACGCUGCACUACGCGGCCACUUUGGAGGUGAUGCCACUACUGCUGUCUGUGACGGGACCGCCACGCCACACGCGCCGGCGCGUGCGCUUCACAAUAGCGGCGUCACGUCGCUGCGCUUCGACGACACUGUGACGGCGACGCUCCAUCUCGUGAGCACCGUCGUAAAUGCCAAGUGUACCUCCGUGACGGAGUUCAUCGAUCUCGUCGUCUCCGAUGUGCUGCGAGACACAUCGGGGAGUGCGCGCGUUUUGUUUGCGACUCUUCGCCCUGGCGCCUUCGCGGAACGGCUUCAGGGUGUGUUGGCUAGUCUAAGAACAUUGCGAGAAAGCAGCGAUCAGCACGGCGAUCGGGCUCGCCGCCUGCCCGCCUUCAUGGACGCCUUGGUGGAGACCAUCCACAGCCACGGUGGGCGGGUGGACGUGACGUCCUCCGACGCUACCGGCGAUCUCACCAUUGCGGACGCGACCAUGCCGUACCGUCACGACUCAGCCACGACGUUCGAGGAUUGUCAGGCACGGGAGCAAAGAGCAAUCGUUCACGGCCUGCAGGCAUUACUGAACCAGCAAGAGGAGCGUGCUCGCGCUCUCACAGCUGAAUGGCAAUGCGUGACGACGCAGUACCACCAGCUGUCUCAGGAGCAGGUCGCUGCUGAGGAGACGGUUGUGGAGCUGCGCCGCCGUGUGCAGUUCAAACUGCAGGAGGAUUCCAAGCUGGAGGAGAGUCUUCGCGAGCUUGACAGCCACCUCGAUCAACAGGCGCGCGAGCUCUCCAUGAGGUACUUCGCCGAUCAGGACGCCAUUGUGCGACGCUUCACGCUGCUGAGAGAUCAGAUUCACGCAGCAAUGCGUCUGCCAACGCGGCGGUCGGCGUCUGCCAUACCGCCGCGCACACCAGGUCGCGACACCUCGACCCCGCGAAGCUAGUGGAAUCGUGAGGCCUUGGCAACCUCGUGUUCAUGUUUGUCAGAGGAGCUGUCCCGGCGUCACUAAAUCUGUUGCUGCUUCGUGUGGCGAAUGUGAACAUGACUUUGCUGCUUUUAUUUUCGUGUUGCGUUUUGUGUGUCGUCCCCCCCCCCCCAACCACUCCCCUUAUUCUUUAGUCCUGCGAAGUGGGGGAGGAAUGGCGCUUCGUCAGUCCCGAGUUGAGCAACAACAACAGCCGAAAACAAACAACAACCGGUCGAACUCUGGCGCAUGCAACGGAGAUGAACGAGAUGCAGGCGGCGCGUCUCUGCGGUAGAUCCGCCACUCCUAUUCUUUCCCUACGCGCGCGUAGUGAAACGGAGACAGGGUAUGCAAAAAAAGAUAUACACAGGCAGAGCUGCCGCCCACAAGCGUAUCACCUCGGCGCUUCCGUUGCAUGAGCGUGUCUCAACGAGCCGAUGAACCUUUUCACGCUGCUUGGUGUGAGGCCCUUGUGUGCUAGCCCCCUCCCCCAUGUCUACGAAUGUUUCCUCCCUCCGAUUUCGUAACGGCCACCGCUCUCUCUCUUUUCUUGCUGUGCUUGUCCUUGUGUUGUCUGCGUCUCUCUUGUUCGCUGCUCCGCACCACACCUCGUCUCCGCUGUCGCCCCUUCGCUCUCUCCUCCCGCCUUUUCCGUGCGGUUCCACGCCGGCCGACUUGCGAACUCCUUUGUUGCAUGUUUUUUCUUUUCGUUCUCAUUAUUCCUAUCUUCUUCGUGGACAUCCUUUCCCAUACCGCACUCGUGGGGCAG